UUAUCUCAAUCGAUAACCAAAUCUAACACAAUUCCCCCUUUCAGUCUGCCACUUUUAGAUAGUCAUAUCUGUGGAAAUUCACCUCACUGUUUGCCAGAGAGUCGACAGCGGAAGAAACAGACACUAGUAGAAGAGGCUGAGUUUUUAUUAAAGGCCAAUUAGUGCGGAUUGAGGAGGAAGUUGAUGGAGUUGAACGGGUUAACGGCGGAAGGCCUCGCCUCACCUUUUCGUGCGCGUCACCCGGCUCUGUAAAGUGGUCCCACCAUCAAUCCCAGCAUCCAAACCGAGGAGGGGGGGAGAAAAAAAAUCUAACCACCGCCUCUCGUUUUGACUCUACCCUCGGUCGCAUCAUCUCCGCCCGCCGCUCCAUCAGCACCGCGCACAUCCACAACACAAGGGGAAGUCCGGGGAUAAGAGUGGACCAGCGGAGAUUUACGCAACCAUGAAGGACCGCAUGCAAGAAUUUAGACAUGGGAAGGAGACAACAGAGGAGGAGGAUGAAGUCGCCGUGGGGAUGGAGAAAGGCUUUAUGGAUGAGUUCUUUGAACAGGUGGAGGAGAUCCGAGGUUUUAUUGAGUCCCUGGCAGAGAAAGUGGAGGAGGUGAAGAGGAAGCACAGUGCUAUCCUCGCCUCACCCAACCCCGAUGAGAAAACUAAGGCUGAGUUGGAGGAUCUCAUGGCAGACAUCAAGAAACUGGCCAACAAAGUACGCUCCAAAUUAAAGAGUAUCCAGCAAACCAUUGAGCAAGAAGAAGGCCAAAACAGGUCAUCAGCUGAUCUGAGGAUACGCAAGACACAGCACUCCACACUGUCUCGUAAGUUUGUUGAAGUGAUGUCAGAGUACAACACCACCCAGUCGGACUACAGAGAGCGCUGCAAGGGACGCAUUCAAAGACAGCUGGAGAUCACUGGGAGAAAUACAACCAAUGAAGAGCUAGAAAGCAUGUUAGAGAGUGACAACCCAGCUAUCUUUACCUCGGGGAUCAUUAUGGACAACAUCACCCAGCAAGCCAUGAAUGAGAUUGAGACACGGCACAAUGAGAUUAUAAAGCUGGAAAACAGUAUCCGAGAGCUGCAUGAUAUGUUCAUGGACAUGGCCAUGCUUGUGGAAAGCCAGUUGUAAAGCAGAGAACAGCGCUCCUCUUGUAGUACGACAAGGGUGGCCUGGUGAACAACAUUGAACGGAGUGUGUUGGGGGCCAAAGACUAUGUGGAGCACGCAAAAGAGAACAUCCCAAAAUGCAAAAAGUUCAAGAAAACCAGCAAAAAGAAGGUGAUCCUAAUAGGAGGCUGUGUUGCAGUGUGUCUGUGCAUCCUCAUUAUUUCCCUCGCAGUUGGACUCAGUUAGGAAUCCAAGAAAUGUAAACAGAGUAGACAGUACAGGAAGUGGUGCCGCCCUCGUUGGGCCGUUUGAUAAACACAGAGAGGCGCUCUUCAACUGUUCAUCAGCAGCUUCAACAGUAUGCACGGAAAACAAUUUUUCAAUAGAUGCUUAUAAUUUGCGGAAACUCUCUUUCAAGGGUUCAUUGUUUUAAAUACCUUCAAUUCACUAGAGGAAAAGACAGAAUGCUGGAGCACAGUGAUAAAGUCAGAGUGUUACAUGUUUAUAUGUGACUUUAUCAGUGUGUUCCAGCUUCUUUCCUUUUCUUCUAAUUCUGUUGUCUGUGAUAAGUAUGUCUUUCCUCAGCAAGGAAGCACUUUUCAUUCUUUCACUACUGUAACUUUAUAUGUAUUGUACAUACAAAAACGUGGAAAUGCUUUGGCCCCAUCUCUUACAUUAUACUGAGCAUUAUACUGCAUUAUACUGAUGGUUAAUUACUGACAGAAGGAACAAUUAUGUAGCCUUUCAGAUUAUGCACUCUAUAAUCUGACUUUUGUUGUUUUUUGGGGUUUUUUUUGCAAGAACACCCCCCCAAGUGAAAAUAAACGUCAGUGUUAAAAAUAUCUAAUAUAAAGUAAUUGUCUUAAUAUUCACACCCUUGAAUUCUGAUGGUCCGUGUAAAAAGAGCCUCUUGUAAAACAGCCUUUGCUUUGUGUCUGUGCUGUAUCUUUGUCAUGUGCACGAUGAACAUUUUUGUGAACGUUUGUCGUUGCACUGCAUGUAACUUUUCACCAUCAGACGGAGACAAUUUUAGACCUCGUGGUUUGAACAGAAGCCACAGUCACACUCCACCCAUGUGAUUAAAUACAUUCAAACUGAACUGUCUCUGCUCAGACUGUAGUAUAUGCUUCUGAUUUUCUUGUGUGCUGCAUUUUGUCGUCACAGAUGUAAUGUUUUUAAGCCUUUAACUAAUGUUGAAGUGAUAUCUCUAACAUGUUUUUUUUUCUGUUCCCUAUUUGCUGCCUUGGAUGACUUUUUUUUCUUUUGUCCUUUUAUUUUUGUUGAAACAAAAUAGAAGAAAAUUAUGAUUAUUAUAUGUUGUGUGAUCUUGGGUAUUGUCAUUGCUUCUGUCGUUGGUGGAACACUCGGCUAAACCUAAGCCACAAACAGGAAAGAACACACACAGCUACAUCCACCCCUGAGCAAAAACACAACAGUGACACCUUUCAGUUACUUUUUUCAUGAAUGCAAUCAACUGCAUAUUUAGCACAAGGUACUCUACAGACAUUUUACAUACAGUGUACGGGGGCCAGAGGUGUUUUCGCAUGAGUUGCUAUUUUGUAAACGUGUGGUGCUGCAAACUGUUUAUCUGAGUGUUGAGUGUUGUCAAAGAUAUGAUGUUUCCAAAAUUGAAUUCUUGAAUGAUAUGUACUACUAUAAUAAUAAUAAUAAUAAUAAUAAUACAUUCCAACUUCCAAAUAUGACAUUUAUUUUGUCGUAAUGUCUAUUUGUGUUGUAUAGGCAAAGUGACUGGCCACUGAUCUGCAGUGUUUUUAAAGCCACGUUAUAUAUAGAUGUUUAUUUACACGUGUACUUUUAUUUUACCGUCUUUUAUAUAUUUUUGCUGAUGUCCUCUACCUCCCUAAAAACCCUGCAUGGUUUAGUUCACUGCAAAGUGGAUCUUUUUGUUUGUUUGUUUUGUUUUUUAUAUUCUGUUGCAAAAGGGAAAUAAGACAGCUCUACUGGUGUUGGAUAUUUUGCUCUUCACACUAUCGUCACACUGCCAAACUUUUCUAAAGUCAUAUAUUGUUGUCCAGAUUUUAAAAAAGCUUCUUUAUUAUCUGGCCUUACCAGUUGUGCAACAUUUUGACUAACCGUUGCUCUAGUGUUGAGUGUGUGAGUGCAUGCAUAUAUGUAAAAGAGGCUAUGUGAGUCUAUUUGUAGCUACAUGUCUGAAUGUGUUGAAUGUGAGUGAUGAAAUGAGAACAUGAGUGCUUGUUUAUUAGCCACUGUGUCUUUGUUUUGUAUAAAGUGUAAACUGAUAAAAAGCUCUCUAACACUGCCAGUAUGUUCAAAUCCAGUUCGCUGUUAUAACAGAGUCUAGUCUGGUUGGUUUGAUAAUUCUGGUCUGUAAGUAAUAAACCCUUGUUGUUGUAUGUCUUUUUAUAAACCCCAAGCUUUAAUCAGAGCAUAUUCUUCUGUCAAGCUACUUAUCUGUUUAAUUUUAUGAGUAAAACUUGACAAGUCAAAGAAAAUGUCAGCAUGAAUUUAAAGUAGCCCAGUGAAAGACUCUCAUAUCAGUUUUCUGGUGACACAUCAGACAUGCACAGACUGCAACGAUGUUACCAUGUUGCCUACUCAACUUGUUGCCUUUGUGUUGUAUUGUGAUAAUAUGGUUUUGUUUGUUUAAUUUGAGUAUUUUUUCAAGUAAAGUUUGUCUGAAAAAA